GAAAAAAAGAAUAGCAGCAAUUUGAAUCUGUGCAGGAGUUUGGAAUGUUAAUCAUCCCAAUAGAGAUGGAUUAAUGGGCAGCGGGUAAAUGCUGCCAUCAGAGGUGCCCAGAAAGUUAGGCUUUGUGAGAUUCAGCAUUGCAACACUGAAGUCCCUGGGUGGAGCCUACCCUAACAACCUCUCCCAGGAAAUGUAAGCCUGCUCUCACUAGACCUGAUUUAAACAAGGAACUCUGAUCACAUUGUAUGGGAGGGAUGCUCAGAGCAACGCUGUGUAGGAAUGCUCCCCAACAGAUGGAAUCAAAAGCAGCUGAAAAGUAACAACACCUGAUAUGAGAUUAUAGGCCAUCUCAUCUGGAAUCAAUUCCUAAAAAGCUCUCCUUUCAUCCUCUGCUUGAGAGAUUCGGUGUGCCCUAAUGAUUGCUUCAGACGCUGCUUCUGUUUAUAAAGAGUUAAGUCAUCCAGUCGUGCAACAGAAACCAUACCAUGUGGAUGCAGAUGAUUAGUCACACAGAGUGCAGAUGGUCCCCAUGUGCAGCAGAACCUGCGAAGAGUUAGGCUUUAUGGGGCUCCCUGUGUGCAGUAGUGUUGGGGGC